rnacentral:rRNA from 1 species
GAUGAACGCUAGCUACAGGCUUAACACAUGCAAGUCGAGGGGAAACGGCAUCGAAAGCUUGCUUUUGAUGGGCGUCGACCGGCGCACGGGUGAGUAACGCGUAUCCAACCUGCCCAUCACUUGGGAAUAACCUUGCGAAAGUAAGACUAAUGCCCAAUGACAUCCCACGAAGGCAUCCGAAUGGGAUUAAAGAUUUAUCGGUGAUGGAUGGGGAUGCGUCUGAUUAGCUUGUUGGCGGGGUGACGGCCCACCAAGGCAACGAUCAGUAAGGGUUCUGAGAGGAAGGUCCCCCACAUUGGAACUGAGACACGGUCCAAACUCCUACGGGAGGCAGCAGUGAGGAAUAUUGGUCAAUGGGCGAGAGCCUGAACCAGCCAAGUAGCGUGCAGGAUGACGGCCCUAUGGGUUGUAAACUGCUUUUAUAAGGGAAUAAAGUGGGUCACGUGUGACUUUUUGCAUGUACCUUAUGAAUAAGGACCGGCUAAUUCCGUG